rnacentral:rRNA from 1 species
UACGGUGGCAAGAGCAAGAAGGAAACACCUGUAACCAUGCCGAACACAGCAGUUAAGCUUCUUCACGCCGAGAGUAGUUG